rnacentral:tRNA from 1 species
GCCUGGGUGGCUCACUUGGUAGAGCAUCUGACUUCGGCUCAGGUCAUGAACUCAUGGAUGGUGAGUUCGAGCCCUACAUUGGGCU